AACGAACGCUGGCGGCAUGCCUAACACAUGCAAGUCGAACGAGACCUUCGGGUCUAGUGGCGCACUGGGGCGUAGCGCGUUGGAACCUGCCCUUAGGUUCGGAAUAACUCCCCGGAUGGGGUGCGAAUACCGGAUAAUGUCUUCCGACCAAAGAUUUAGCGCCAUUGGAUGGUCCGGCGUUGGAUUGGCUUGUUAUUAGGCUAAAAGCCUUCUAGAGCGACGAUCCGUAGCUGGGUAGAGAGGCUGAUCAGCCACACUGGUACUGAGACACGGCCGGGACUAUUACGCGAGGGGGGAGUGGCGAAUAUAGGAAAGUCGGCGAAAGGAUGAUGGAGUAAUGAUGGGUAAGCGAUGUAGGCUGGAGGGUAGUAAAGUUAUUUUACCCGGGACGAUAAUGACGGUACCGGGAGAAUAAGCUCCGGCUAACUCCGUG
rnacentral:rRNA from 1 species